GAUGAACGCUGGCGGCGUGCCUAAUACAUGCAAGUCGAGCGAACGGACGAGAAGCUUGCUUCUCUGAUGUUAGCGGCGGACGGGUGAGUAACACGUGGAUAACCUACCUAUAAGACUGGGAUAACUUCGGGAAACCGGUGCUAAUACCGGAGAAUAUUUUGAACCGCCUGGUUCAAAAGUGAAAGACGGUCUUGCUGUCACUUAUAGAUGGAUCCGCGCUGCAUUAGCUAGUUGGUAAGGUAACGGCUUACCAAGGCAACGAUGCAUAGCCGACCUGAGAGGAUGAUCGGCCACACUGGAACUGAGACACGGUCCAGACUCCUACGGGAGGCAGCAGUAGGGAAUUUUCGGCAAAGGGCGAAAGCCUGACGGAGCAACGCCGCGUGAGUGAUGAAGGUCUUUGGAUCGUAAAACACUGUUAUUAGGGAAGAACAUAUGUGUAAGUAACUGGGCACAUCUUGACGGUACCUAAUCAAAAAGCCACGGCUAACUACGUG
rnacentral:rRNA from 1 species